rnacentral:rRNA from 1 species
AUGGGGUGCAGCAGGGGCGAAAACUCCGCAAUGCGGGCAACCGUGACGGGGCCACCCCGAGUGCCCCGAAGAGGGGCUUUUCCCCGCUGUAAAUAGGCGGGGGUAAUAAGCGGGGGGCAAGUCUGGUGUCAGCCGCCGCGGUAAUACCAGCCCCGCGGGUGGUCGGGACGAUUAUUGGGCCUAAAGCGCCCGUAGCCGGCCCGGUAAGUCCCCCCUUAAAGCCCCGGGCUCAACCCGGGGACGGGGGGGAUACUGCCGGGCUAGGGGGCGGGAGAGGCCGAGGGUACUCCCGGGGUAGGGGCGAAAUCCGUUAAUCCCGGGAGGACCACCAGUGGCGAAGGCGCUCGGCUGGAACGCGCCCGACGGUGAGGGGCGAAAGCCGGGGGAGCGAACCGGAUUAGAUACCCGGGUAGUCCCGGCUGUAAACGAUGCGGGCUGGGUGUUGGGCGGGCUUAGAGCCCGCCCAGUGCCGCAGGGAAGCCGUUAAGCCCGCCGCCUGGGGAGUACGGCCGCAAGGCUGAAACUUAAAGGAAUUGGCGGGGGACAC